UAGAAAUCUCUGCCCAUCACCUGCCCCCAACAUUACAAAGGCACAAGAAGAGAACACCGAUCCUUCCAGAAUCCGGCGGCUGACUAUUUAGUGAGAUUUCUUAAGGUACCCAGUACUACACGAUUUUUCACUAAAGUUGGAUCUGCACAGCCUUUUCUGCUCUGUGAAACAACUGCACUGAACUUUACUGUUAGCGACUGGAUACAGCUGAUCCACUCAUAUCCUGCUACUGUUUUUCAUCUGCUGAAUGUUUUUGACUCAAGCACUGCUGUACUGUUGCAAAGUCAAAGUGAACAGAAUUUUACUAUGAUCCCAGACUUUUUGGAUUGUUUUGAAAUAAAGUUUUUU